GGUUCGAUCAUGGCUCAGAUUGAACGCUGGCGGGGAUGCUUUACACAUACCGUCGAACGGCAGCACGGACUUCGGUCUGGUGGCGUGUGGCGAACGGGCAGGUAAUCGUAUCGGAACGUGCCCCUAGUAGCAGAGGAUAACUUCGCGGCCUUAAUACCUGCCCUUCGGGGGAAAGCGGGGGACCUUCGGGCCUCGCACUAUUAGAGCGGCCGAUAUCCGGAUUAGCUAGUUGGUGGGAGUAACAGCUCACAAGGCGACGAUCCGUAGCUGGUUUGAAGGACGACCAGCCACACUGGGACUGAGACACGGCCCAGACUCCUGCGGAGGCAACGGUAGGGAAUUUUGGACAAUGGGGAAACCUGAUCCAGCCAUCCCGCGCGUGUGCGAUGAAGGACUUCGGGUUGUAAAGCACUUUUGGCAGGAAAGAAACGGCACGGGAUAAUACCCCGUGCAACUGACGGUACCUGCAGAAUAAGCACCGGCUAACUACGUGCCAGCAGCCGCGGUAAUACGUAAGUGCGAGCGUUAAUCCAGUUACUGGGCGUAAAGCGUGCGCAGGCGGUUCGGAAGAAAGAUCAUGAAAUCCCAGGCUUAACUUUGGAACUGCAUUUUAACACCGAGCUUCAGAGUGUCGAAGUGGAAUUCCGCGUGUAGCAGUGAAAUGCGUAGAUAUGCGGAGGAACACCGGUGGCGAAGGCAGCCUCCUGAAGUUACUGACGCUCAUGCACGAAAGCGUGGGAGCAAACCAGAGUUAGAUACCCUGGUAGUCCACGCCCUAAACGAUGUCAACUAGCUGUUGGGGCCUUCGGGCCUUAAGUAGCGCAGCUAACGCGUGAAGUUGACCGCCUGGGGAGUACGGUCGCAAGAUUAAAACUCAAAGGAAUUGACGGGGACCGCACAAGCGGUGGAUGAUGUGGAUUAAUUCGAUGCAACGCGAAAACCUUACCUACCCUUGACAUGUCUGGAAUCCCGAAAGAGGGUUUGGGAGUGCUCGCAAGAGAACCGGAACACAGGUGCUGCAUGGCUGUCGUCAGCUCGUGUCAUUGAGAUGUUGGGUUAAGUCCUGUGACGCAACCCUUGUCAUUAGGUUGCACGAAGGGCACUCUAAUGGGAGACUGCCGGUGACAAACCGGAAGGUGGGGAUGACGUCAAGUCCUCAUGGCCCCUUAUGGGUAAGGGCUUCACACGCCAUACAAUGGUCGGGACAGAGGGUCGCCAACCCGCGAGGGGGAGCCAAUCCCAGAAACCCGAUCGUAGUCCGGAUCGCAGUCUGCAACUCGACUGCGUGAAGUCGGAAUCGCUAGUAAUCGCGGAUCAGCAUGUCGCGGUGAAUACGUUCCCGGGUCUUGUACACACCGCCCGUCACACCAUGGGAGUGGGUUUUACCCAGAAGUAGUUAGCCUAACCGUAAGGAGGGCGAUUCUACAGUAAGUUCCUUGACUGGGGUGAAGUCGUAACAAGGUAG
rnacentral:rRNA from 1 species